AGAGUUUGAUCCUGGCUCAGAAUGAACGUUGGCGGCGUGGAUUAGGCAUGCAAGUCGUACGCUUUAUGUAGCAAUACAUGAAGAGUGGCGUAAGGGAGAGUAAUGCAUGGUUAGCUACCCUCGGGACUGGGAUAGCGGCGGGAAACUGCCGGUAAUACCAGAUGAUGUCUUCGGACCAAACGUGUAAACCGGCCCGAGGAGGCGACCAUGUCCUAUCAGCUAGUUGGCGGUGUAAUGGACCACCAAGGCAAAGACGGGUAUGGGGCGUGAGAGCGUGCCCCCACUCACUGGGACUGAGACACUGCCCAGACACCUACGGGUGGCUGCAGUCGAGAAUCUUCGGCAAUGGGCGCAAGCCUGACCGAGCGACGCCGCGUGCGGGAUGAAGGCCUUCGGGUUGUAAACCGCUGUCGUAGGGGAGGAAGGCCUGGUGUAGAGCCAGGCUUGACCGAUCCUAGGAGGAAGGGCCGGCUAAUCUC
rnacentral:rRNA from 1 species